UCGAGUGUAAAAACUCACCAAACCCUGUGAACAUACCUUCUGUUGCUUCGGCGGGAUCGCCCCGGGCGCCCUCGUGUGCCCUGGACUCAGGCGCCCGCCGGAGGACCUAAACUCUUGUUUUUAUGAGAUUUUAUCUGAGUGGCUUUAUAGCAAAAAUGAAUCA
rnacentral:misc_RNA from 1 species